rnacentral:rRNA from 1 species
UACGUAGGGGGCAAGCGUUGUCCGGAUUUAUUGGGCGUAAAGAGCGUGUAGGCGGCCAAGCAGGUCCGCUGUGAAAACUCGAGGCUCAACCUCGAGACGUCGGUGGAAACCGUUUGGCUAGAGUCCGGAAGAGGAGAGUGGAAUUCCCGGUGUAGCGGUGAAAUGCGCAGAUAUCGGGAAGAACACCCGUGGCGAAGGCGGCUCUCUGGGACGGUACUGACGCUGAGGCACGAAAGCUAGGGGAGCAAACAGG